AACGAACGCUGGCGGCAUGCCUAACACAUGCAAGUCGAACGAAGGCUUCGGCCUUAGUGGCGCACGGGUGCGUAACGCGUGGGAACCUGCCCCUUGGUUCGGAAUAACACAGAGAAAUUUGUGCUAAUACCGGAUAAUGACUUCGGUCCAAAGAUUUAUCGCCGAGGGAUGGGCCCGCGUAGGAUUAGCUUGUUGGUGAGGUAACGGCUCACCAAGGCGACGAACCUUAGCUGGGCUGAGAGGAUGAUCAGCCACACUGGGACUGGGACACUGCCCAGACUCCUACGGGAGGCAGCAGUGGGGUAUUUUGGACAAUGCGCGAAAGCCUUCUCCAGCAAUGCCGCGUGAGUGAUGAAGGCCUUAGGGUUGUAAAGCUCUUUUACCCGGGAGGAUAAUGACAGUACCGGGAGAAUAAGCGCCGGGUAACUCCGUGCCAGCCGCCGCAGUAACAC
rnacentral:rRNA from 1 species